UGGAACCUGCCCUGUACUGGGAGAUAACCCGGAGAAAUCCGGACUAAUAUCCCAUAACAACCGAGGUGGCAUCACCUUGGCUUGAAAGCUCCGGCGGUACAGGAUGGCCAUGCGCCCGAUUAGCUAGUUGGUGAGGUAACGGCUCACCAAGGCUACGAUCGGUAGGGGGCCUGAGAGGGUUAUCCCCCACACUGGUACUGAGACACGGACCAGACUCCUACGGGAGGCAGCAGUGAGGAAUAUUGCGCAAUGGAGGCAACUCUGACGCAGCCAUGCCGCGUGCAGGAAGAAGGCGCUACGCGUUGUAAACUGCUUUUAAUCGGGAAGAAACCCCGGGACGUGUCCCGGGUUGACGGUACCGAUGGAAUAAGCACCGGCUAACUUCGUGCCAGCAGCCGCGGUAAUACGAAGGGUGCAAGCGUUAUCCGGAUUCAUUGGGUUUAAAGGGUGCGUAGGCGGGACAGCAAGUCAGCGGUGAAAUCCCGUGGCUCAACCACGGAAUUGCCGUUGAUACUGCUGUUCUUGAGUACGUUUGACGUGGGCGGAAUGUGCCGUGUAGCGGUGAAAUGCUUAGAUAUGGCACAGAACACCGAUAGUGAAGACAGCUCACGAAGACGAAACUGACGCUGAGGCACGAAAGCGUGGGGAUCAAACAGGAUUAGAUACCCUGGUAGUCCACGCCGUAAACGAUGAUCACUCGUGAUCGGCGAUAUACUGUCGGUCACCUAGCGAAAGCGUUAAGUGAUCCACCUG
rnacentral:rRNA from 1 species